rnacentral:rRNA from 1 species
GGGGCAGCAUAUAGAUUGCUUGCAAUUUAUGAUGGCGACCGGCGCACGGGUGAGUAACGCGUAUCCAACCUACCCAUUACUAGGGAAUAACCCAGCGAAAGUUGGCCUAAUGCCCUAUGUAGUCGUUUGAUCGCCUGAGAUUUCGACGAAAGAUUUAUCGGUAUUGGAUGGGGAUGCGUCUGAUUAGCUUGUUGGCGGGGUAAAGGCCCACCAAGGCAACGAUCAGUAGGGGUUCUGAGAGGAAGGUCCCCCACAUUGGAACUGAGACACGGUCCAAACUCCUACGGGAGGCAGCAGUGAGGAAUAUUGGUCAAUGGGCGAGAGCCUGAACCAGCCAAGUAGCGUGCAGGAUGACGGCCCUAUGGGUUGUAAACUGCUUUUAUAUGGGAAUAAAGUGAGGGACGUGUCCCUUAUUGCAUGCACCAUACGAAUAAGGACCGGCUAAUUCCGUGCCAGCAGCCGCGGUAAUACGGAAGGUCCAGGCGUUAUCCGGAUUUAUUGGGUUUAAAGGGAGCGUAGGCUGUUUGUUAAGCGUGUUGUGAAAUGUAGGAGCUCAACUUUUAGAUUGCAGCGCGAACUGGCAGACUUGAGUGCGCACAACGUAGGCGGAAUUCAUGGUGUAGCGGUGAAAUGCUUAGAUAUCAUGACGAACUCCGAUUGCGAAGGCAGCUUACGGGAGCGCAACUGACGCUAAAGCUC